rnacentral:lncRNA from 1 species
AGGCCAGGCACUACUCUGUCCCAACAAUAAGCCCUGUACAUUGGGAAAGGUGCCGAAGACAUGAACUUUGGUCUUCUCUGCAAUCCCUCUGGAGCAUUCAGUGACAACGUCGACUUUGAAGUUGCACUGACCUGGCCAGCCCUGCCACUUACCAGGUUGGGCUGUGGCUUGCCUUUUCACUUCUUGUGUCCUGUUUAAGAAAUAUCUGCUAUCCCAAGCAUCUGGCAUCUUUCUUGACAUACGUAGCAGUUGCUUUUUGACAGCUUGCUUCUGGAGUGAAUGAAUAAAUUAAUAAAUUUAUUCAUUUGAUAUUCAGUGACAUGUGAUAUUCAGUGAUCCAUUUUGCAGAUUGCAAACUCCUAGAGAAGGGCUCAACAGUGAGUGUUGAGGCUGCACAGAGGAGGAAGGUAGCACAAUGAUGGAAGGCUUCCUAAAGAGGUCAGCUCCUGAAUCAAUUAAAAAAAAAAAACAACAGUGACAACGAAACUAAAAAAUAUGAAGAGGCUGAAACAUGAAAGCUCUGCCAACUGCAAUAUGUAGCUGCUAAGGUUGCUGUGUUUACUGGCAUCAAGCAAGUGUUCCAGGAAAGAGCACAGAAGAUGUGUCUGGGAGCCUUUAUGUAUAACACUAACAAAGUUGACCUUAGAAUUGGAGUGCCCGGGUUAGAACCUUGCUGGUACCACCUGCUUACUGCAUGCUUCUGAUGUGAGUUCAGGAGAAGCCACUGGCAAGGACAGCAAAGAACAGGAGAACACUCUAGCUUCCCUGAUAGCAUUCAAGGUGCUGUCCAAAGCUCUUGAGUUUCUGCUUUCAAGUGACCCUCAGAAAUGCCCCCAUUCACUGCAGAGGUUCUGUUUCUCCUUGUUUUGUUCCGACUUUAUGGCAGAACUAGGUUAAUGAGUUAAUUACUAUGAGUUAUCACUUGGAUUUGAAGAACCAUCAUUUCUAGGCUUUGCUGCUCAGAGUGGGUUUGCCCUCAGGGGAAGCUAUCUAACCAGAGCCUAACCCACUAGGGUUUUAUCAGAACCUAACUGGCCUGAGGAAAAGAAAUAUUCAACUCCAGCAAGCUCCAGCCUUCCAAACGGAGGAGGAGAAAACCCAAAUCCAGCCCACUUCAGCUAUCUUGUCCCACAUAAAGGGGGAGUGGAAGAAACGUGAGAAGCAGGCAUGAAGUUCACAGUCCGGAGGUACAGACACAUCAGAGUUCAGUAUCUGAUGAAUUAGAUGCAAAAUCCUCAACAAAGUAUUAGCAAAUUGAAUUCAACAAUGUAUGAAAAUUAUUACAUGCCAUGACUAAUUGGAAUUUAUCUCAGGUAUACAAGCCAUGCUGAACAUCUGAAAAUCAAUUCAUGUGAUCCAUCACAUUAGCAGAUUCAA